rnacentral:rRNA from 1 species
GACAUGGCUCGGAUUGAACGCUGGCGGCAGGCCUAACACAUGCAAGUCGAGCGGUAGCACAGAGAGCUUGCUCUCGGGUGACGAGCGGCGGACGGGUGAGUAAUGUCUGGGAAACUGCCUGAUGGAGGGGGAUAACUACUGGAAACGGUAGCUAAUACCGCAUAACGUCGCAAGACCAAAGUGGGGGACCUUCGGGCCUCAUGCCAUCAGAUGUGCCCAGAUGGGAUUAG